GAGACUUUACAGUUGAACUUUUUUCAGCAACGAAGAAACAAAAAUGAGUCUCUCAAGCUCCCUCUACUUGGUCGUUGUUCUUGGCACGGUGGCGCUUCUCUCCGUUAUAGCGCCAUCCGAAGCUCAGGUCUUGGGAGGAAGCGGAAGCGUCAGCGGCGCUUCGAGCCAGUCGUCCUCUCGAUCCGGCUCCCUGUCUCGCGGCCUUUACUAAAAACGAUAUCUUCAUCUUGUUUGCUUCAAAUUAUUAUUUAAUGACAACGAUAACAAAAACAUCAACAUGAAAUAAAUAUUCCAAAUUAUCAUAAAGCAUAAACAAAA